GUGCCAGACUCCUACGGGAGGCAGCAGUGGGGAAUAUUGGGCAAUGGGCGCAAGCCUGACCCAGCAACGCCGCGUGAAGGAAGAAGGCUUUCGGGUUGUAAACUUCUUUUAAGGGGGAAGAGGAGAAGACGGUACCCCUUGAAUAAGCCACGGCUAACUACGUGCCAGCAGCCGCGGUAAUACGUAGGUGGCAAGCGUUGUCCGGAUUUACUGGGUGUAAAGGGCGUGCAGCCGGGAGGACAAGUCAGAUGUGAAAUCCCGCGGCUCAACCGCGGAACUGCAUUUGAAACUGUUUUUCUUGAGUACCGGAGAGGUCAUCGGAAUUCCUUGUGUAGCGGUGAAAUGCGUAGAUAUAAGGAGGAACACCAGUGGCGAAGGCGACUUACUGGACUGUAACUGACGUUGAGGCACGAAAGUGUGGGGAGCAAACAGGAUUAGAUACCCGGGUA
rnacentral:rRNA from 1 species